CCCCCCCCCCCUCGACGACAGGCUUCUUCCUCGUUCUCAAGACCAAAACGAACAAAAACCACCCCCCAGAACUUCAGCUUCUUCUUAACAAAUGAAUGUUGGGCUUCCUCUUCAUAAAGGACUAACCUAAAACCUACAAGAAACAAGAGCAACAGCCAUUUCCAUGAAUCUAAAGCUUAAUCUUCUCCAUUGACACAGCUAAAAAAUGAACAACAACCACAGAGGAACUCCCCUCUUCAUCGAGCAGCUUCAUGUCGUUCCUCACGUCAGAAACUACCACCCUUGUCAUUCCCUUCUUCCGUUUCCUCUAGCCUUUUCCAGCGGAAAACAGCCACAACACACGUAAACGCUGAAAACAAUAAGGAGUUCAAAAGCUCGUUUAACAAUUUUUCGGCGAGUCUCGAAUUUUUCUAGUCGCGUUUCGAUGACUAUUCUGUUGGUUCCUUGUCGAGGCUGAAUCCAUCUUGGAGUUCGUUUGCGAGAUCUAUGCAACGCCAUAUAUUGAAGUGUUGAAUGCGUCGAGGCCCGAUGCGUCGAGGUCGAUUUAGAAAUCCGUUCGAAGUCCCGUCGCCGGUCUAAGUUUUCAGUCGUUGUCUCAUUUGAGCAUCAUUUCUUUGUAUGAAGCAAAAGGUUAGAGUUCUUUCAACAAAGAUUCUUCUUUUAAUUUACUGUUUCUCUUUAAUUAUAUAAUGCUCUGUUAUGGGUUAGGAAUGUCUAAAUGUGUAUUGCCUUUUCGUUUCUUCCGUUGUUUUGUUUUUUCUUGUUUGAUUGAAAUCAGUUUUUGCAAGAAAUUCAAACGUGAAAUCCACAUUCACGUUGUUUGUUUGGUUAAUUUAAUAAAUCCAUGUUAUGCUAAAAAAGUAAAUAGGACAAUAAUACUUUAAAGGAAAUUCUUUUAUUUAGUAAUGUUCAUGUGAGAAUUGUGCUCCUUGGCUGUUGUUCUGUUACUUGUUUCAAUUAUUUUAAUUUCUUGUUUCAUGAAAGAAGAUGAACUUUCGUAGUUGCUUUAGGUGCAUUAGUUAAAUAAUUAUCAUAGCUACGGGUAUGGUUCCCGUAACGUAGUUGUGAUACUUAAUCCCUAAUUAGUUUAAAUAUGAAUAUUCGUAGUUCUUUUAAUUAAAUGCUUUUCCUUUAAUAAAUUGUGGUGUACCAUCCAAUCACCUAUUUCAUGGCCCUCGCAAACUUGAAAGUGUGUAGUUGCUUUAGGCGUGCUAUUUAAAAAUUACUUCCCUAAACUCGGGUGUGCAUUUAUGUGACCCAAAUUCAAAUCUCAACAAUGUUAGAUAAAAUGUGUUGCGAACCGCGGGAGCAUUUAUGUAGCGUGGCUUACAAUGUCUUUUAAAUAACUUUGAAUUUUUUCCGAAAUAUUAAAAGAUGCUAAAAUACCUUUGCUUUUGAAUUUGCUUUUGCUUUUUACUUUUUUUUUUUUGCUUUUUGCUUUGGGUCCGUAUGAUUCAUCCAUUCUGAAAGAUAUGAAAAAACAAUAUGUUAGAAUAAGAUUUUAAUUUAAUCCCAACAAUUUAUCUCUUACUUCUUUUUAGUAGCCUCUUUGUUAGUUAAUUUCACAUUGACUUAGCUUAAUAACAAUGAAGUUACCCUCAAAGGUUUAAAGUGUCAAAGUACGUCCCUUUAUUAGUAAAUGAUAUAAAUAAUAAAUAGCACAGUCCCUAGUUCGCCUUCACUUUCCAUAGUCAUGCCUUACUCUAAUUAUAAAAAAAAAUUAUUAAUAAACAACGUAGUUUGCUUUAGGGGCGAUUGUUAGUAUAUUAUCGUGGCUAUGGGUACGGUUCCCGUGACAUAGUUAUGAUACCUAAUUCCCAAAUUUGGGGGUGCAUUUCAUGUUACCCGAUCAUAACAACUUCAAACAAUAAUAAAAUAAACAUGUCGCAAAUCGUGAGUGCAUUUCAUGUAGCAUGAUUUGCGGUGUGUGCCAAAACGGCAAGUGUACGACAAUCGUAACUUGUUAAAGAAAUAAUUCCAUAAAUCCUAAAAGCGGUUUAAAAUAAUUACAAAGCGGUUAUAAAGGUUAAAAAUGCAAUAAGUUUAAAACGUGUAAUAAAUCAGAUAAUUAGGCCAAUUUUAAUAGUUUAAGCGACCCUGCUAAAAUCACAGAACUCAGGAAUGCCUAACACCUUCUCCCGGGUUAACAGAAUUCCUUACCCGGAUUUCUAUUUUCGUGGACUCUAAUACAGAGUCAAUCUUUUCCUCGAUUAGGGAUUUAAACCGAUUACUUGAGACACCAUAAAAUUAUCCCAAGUGGCGACUCUGAAUCUUUAAUUGAAAUAAUCCCGUUUCGAUUGUCACUUAAAUUGGAAAAAACUUCCUUAUACCCUUCUAGGUGUAGUAAAAAGGAGGUGUGACAGUGAGAUUUUUCGCGGAGAAGGCGGGGCUUGAAUUUUCGCUGAGUCAUCUUAUUUGGUUGUACCUGCCGUUUUACCAUCGAGGUCUGCUAACCUUGCGAUGUCGAUCAACCACGCCCUUCAUUGUUGAUGACAAGGAAAAUUGCGAUUGGGGAUGGAUGAGUGCGCACCGCUGACAUUAUCCCCGUGGAGUUUAUGCAUUCCCUGAGCAAUGGAAUUAUACACGUAAGUGGUGCAUUUCGUGCUUUCUCAGUUUUGCCUAUAGCUUUCUUCCUCUGCAGUGGUUUUAUGGGCGUCGGGUGACGUUCCUGAUCUGCCGGAUUGGGUCUGAGAAUUGGUAACCCACUCGACCUGUGAUGAGCGCAAAUGGCGAGCUUUGUCCCGGGGCAGAUGGGAAGAAAAAUACCAUGGUAAGUGUUGUGAUAUUCUUUCCUUUCCCUUCUUUGAUGUGGAGAAGCAUAUCCCCUUUACGCGUAUUAAUCUUGUUGUUGUAGGCAUUGGAAAGCCUUUCGAGGCGAAGCUGCGCUCCUUUGGUUUGAGGGAAGGGUUGUCAACUCACGGGCUGAAGAACAGUAACGAUGGACGAGAGGUGCUUUCACAGGGUGAUGGCGCUCAAAGUAAGGCGGAGCGGGACCGGGGCUUCGGAGCAGAAGCAUUAUCUGAGCCUGUCGCGUCUGCGACUCAUGGUUCGAGAAAGAGGGUUUCUCCGUUGCUGUCACCUUCUUUUUCAGUCAAUAGCAUUUUGGGAGAUACUAGAAACCUGCGGUCGCGUACACCGAGCAACCUCGCUUCGACCGGAGUAGGUUCUUUCAGGGUCAAAGGGACUGGAUUGGCAGGUGUGCACUCGGCCUUCGAGGAAGCCCAACAGCUUCACUUUGCGGUGAGUUUCGGCGCAGGUUUUUCGAGCUUUGCGCCUUUCCUUCCUUAUUGAGUUUUCUUUUGCAGCCAUUCGGCAAGCUUAAGUCUGGGCUUCUUCGUUGUGAAUCCAAGCCGUGGAAAACUCUAGAUGAGGAGAGAUCCCUUAGGCUCCUUUGCGAUGAAAAAGAAGUCAAGUUGGUACUUUUGCAGUAUGAGGUGGGCCGGAGUUUGAAUUACAAGAAGCACUUGAAGGAGCAGGUAGUUUUCUGUCUCGGGUGAGUGUGCAUUCUGCCUCCUGGUUCCUGGGGCUAAUACUUAGUUUAUUUCAGUUGCAGAAAAAAAAACGGAGGCCCUGGAGCGCCUUUGAGAUGAAGUUGGCCAGGCCAAGCGUAAGCAUGAUAAAUUGAAAGCUCGAGCUCAGGCUCAGGUUUUAAAGGCGAAACAUGUUAUGGCCAAGGUUCCUGCUUUUGAAGCUCAACUUUACCUAGCUCGUGAUAACGCUUUGGUUCAAAUAGAAAUGAUUGCGAAGCUCGAUUUCGAGCUUUCGAAAGUCAGUGCUGAGAUUGUUGAUGCACGAGCAGAAGAUGCAGUGAGGCGUACUAAGGCUGAUGAGGAGAUAAUGAUCUAUUCAAAGGAUGUUGUCGAUACUCAAGUUGAGCUGAGAUAGAUCCUCGACCGUGAAAGGAUGGUCGAAGAAUAUGCUCGUUGCAAGUCUCGUAGAAAGACCCUCGAGGAAAUCUGUGACAGGGGUUUCACCCUCUCGAAACAAUUGGCGCUAGCAAGGGCGGACGAGCGUUAUGCCUGGUUGCUUCAGCCUGUUGCCUAAGAAAGCAAAGACGAGGCCGGCAAGCCAUAGCCCCUAGGGGGGAGCAUAGAUUUUGUCAGCUAUAUGUAGUAUUUUCAAAGCAUGCUUGUAGCUGGAGGUUGCGUUUCUUGCAUGUGUAUGAAAGAAAACCUUGCGGCUUUACUCUUUUCAUAUCUUGUUUUGUCUUGAUUUUGACCAGGCGGACUGGUUUUUGCAUUGGUAGGUAUUCUCAGAGUAGUGAUGUGGCCCCAGGGCUUAUUGGACAGGCCCGUAGGCUCUUAUGUACUUUCAUUCUUAGGAAUACUUAGGCCACCUGUUUUGGGUUAAGUCCCCGAGUUGGGCAUCGACUCCAGCUUAUUUGACCUUCAAAUGGCCGAAUUUUAGGCUGGCGAUAGUGGCUCUUACACUUUUGGUCGAUGAGACCUUUUAGUGUAUGUGGGAUGGCAACAAUGGCUCUUACGCCUUGGGCCGAUGUGGCUUUUUAAUGUAAGUUGGCGACAAUGGCUCUUACGCUUUUGGUCGAUGCGACCUUUUAGUAUAUGUGGGCUGGCGACAAUGGAUCUUACGCCUCGGGCCGAUACAGCCUUUUAAUGUAAGCUGGCGACAAUGGCUCUCACGUUUUGCCCUUAGGCAUAUAUAGUUAACUAUUUUGGGUCCAGUCUACGAAUCGGGUUACGACUCGAGAUCAUUUUGUCCCUCAAGUUUUCAGAUCUCCGGCUGGCGAUAGUGGCUCUUACGCUUUCGCUCGAUGCGACCUUUUGUGUGUAUGGCCCUAAGGCUCAUUAGGCUGGCGACAAUGGCUCUUACGUGCUUGGUCGAUGCGACCUUUUAUGUAGGGUUUAUUUUCCUCUCUCCAAGGACUUUUGAAGUAAUUUUUGCCUGAAUCGUCAUCGGUUCAGAAAGAACCUUGAUUUCGAGUAACUUGCGGCUAUGUUCGAGCACCUCAAGAGGUUUGUCUCGAAGGCUGAGUAGCUCAAAGCCUGUGAUUUGGAGCCGACAUGGUGGAAGCUCUUUUUCUUAUGCCGAGGUUAGCAUGUUUAACUGGUUCUUUUCAAAGUAGAUUCAAAGUAAUGGCAUGUGAUUUAGUAGCGACGGUUGGGCUUCCCCGAGUUGCGUUAGUUCGGCUGGUAUAGCCAUGUGACUGGAGUCACUUGUGUUUGGUUGGAGCCAUUUUGAUCCCGAAUGAGAUAAUUUCGUAAUCUAUAUUGAGGGUAUGCCUUUUUAGGGGUCUUACAAGUUUGAUAUAUAGCCGAAACUUCUUACAUGUUUUUCAUGCCUUUGAGGUCUUAAAGCUUUGGAUACUUGGUACAAGUAUUGUUCAUGACUUGCUUGAGGUUUUACAGAUAUGAUCGCUGCCUUAUGUAAGUUUUACAAGACCGAGUCUGCCUGCUCGGGGUCUUAUGGCCUCGGGUUUUGAUAAGUCGAUGGAGGUGGCGCUUGACGGCAGUCCCCGAGUCAUCGGGAGUUUCUUGACUCGGGAGCCAUUUUUCACAAACUUUGCAUUUCCUCGUCAAAGGCUUACAAUUUUGGAGGACCCGACCCUGAGGUCGUGAAUUAUUUUUUGAGAUUUUGAUGCUAGUCCCCAAGUAUUUGGGGUACUUUCGGCAUUGGAGAUGUUUCGCGAUUUCUGCGUUGCCUUAUCUGAGGGCUUAUGAUUUUGGAUUCCCGACCCGAAGGUCGUUUAGGUGUUGAAUUGUUGAUGCCAGUCCCCGAGUAUUCGGGACGUUUUCGGCGGAGGAGUUGUCUUUGCGAAGGUGCUGAGCCUCUUUUGGAAUGUGAGUUGCUUUGAUAGAAAAUAUCAUUCAAUUAUCUGGUAUAAGUGUACGCGUUUUCUCCAUCGGGGGCCCGAAUAUACAGACACGGUUCGUUCGACCGUUUUGGCCCGGUACAUCAUUUUCCUAUAGGACUUGAUUCGGCGUCUCUUGACUUUUCGAAGCGGAUGACCUUCGGCGGGGGAUGCCCCUCAAUUUUCGAGGUUGAUUUGAAAAGAAGCCUCGGACACUUGUUGAGUCUCCCUUAGGUAGCAUACAUAUGUUGCCUCGUUAAAAACCUUGCUGGUAAAACCCUUUUCAGGACAAAAACUCGGUCGAAGGAAAAGAGUACAGCGGAUGCUUUAAAACCUCAAGGUCUUCGAGCUGGGUUAACGCUCUAACUACUUCGAUCGGGCACCUACAUAAGGGUUAGUCUUAAAUAUGAAAUGAAAAAGGGAGAUGGUUAUACCUUAGCGUGAGAUGUGUCGAUGAUGUUUUGAGGACCGAUAUGUUCUAAUCACUCGAGAUGGGGACACGGUAUGGUCCUUUAUUUCGUUUAAUUGGGCUUAAUCGAAGGUGUGGCUUGAUUACCCUUUGGAUCUUUUGGGAGCAGAGGUAUGGAUGAUGGUGCCACGUCGUGCAUCGCGAACAUUUCCCUUGCCGCAUGUUGUUCCCCGUAGACGGUUUUAAUCCCAUCCUUUGUCGAGAAUUUCAUCAUUUGGUGUAGAGUGGACAAUACUGCCCUCUUACAGUGUAUCCACGGCCAUCCGAACAAGGCGUUAUACCUCAUGUCUCUUUUGAUGACAUGGAAUUUGGCGUUUUGGGUCGUGCCGACCACGGUGACUAGAAGGGUGAUUUCUCCUUUUCUUGUUUCACUUGCCAUGUUGAAUCCGUUGAGUACUCGAGUGGCGGGCACGAUUUGGUCAAGUAGUCCAAGCUGCUCUAUCACCCUCAACCUUAUAAUGUUGGCCGAACUACCUAGAUCUGUCACACCUCCUUUUUACUACCCCCCGAAAGGGAUAAGGGAGUUUUUUCCAAUUUAAGUGGUAAUCGAAACGGGAUUAUUCAUACAAAAAUCAGAGUCGCCACUUGGGAUAAUUUAUGGUGUCCCAAGUCACCGGUUUCGAAUCCCGAAUCGAGGAAAAUUUGACACUAAUUAUGGUCCGCGAACACAGAAAUUCGGGUAUGGAAUUCUGUUAACCUGGGAGAAGGUGUUAGGCAUUCCCAGGUUCUGUGGUUCUAGCACGGUCUCUCUACUAUUAUUAUUGGCUCAAUUAUCUGAUUUAAUACAUCUUCAAAACCUAUAUGCAAUUCAUUCUUUUAAACUGCUUUUAAUAUUUUAGGAAAAUACAAGUUUAUUUAAAACACGUCGUAAGCCACGCUACAUGCCUUAAUUAACCUUGUUGGAAAUUGGAGCCGGGUCACAUGAAAUGUACACCCGGAUUUUAGCAAUUAUAAAUCACAACUACGUCAUGGGAACCGUACAUGUAGCUAUGAUAAUUUAUUUAAUUAAUGCGCCUAAAGCGAAAUUACGAGAAUUCAAAGUGCUUUCUACACUAAGUUGUAAAAUUAAUAUGAGGGCCAUAGAUUAUGUAUUCGGAUGGCACACCUCAACUUAUUCUAACGUGAAUAGACAAAAAUAACCAGAUUUUGCCAAAUUUAUCUAGAAUCAUAAAUACGAAAUCAACCAAACAUAAUUCAUGUAAAUCUUAACCAAUGAUAUGAACAAAACCAACCAAACAGAAAUCAUGAAUCUCAGAAUCAUACACCUCACAAAAAUAAUGAAAGGACUAUGUAGUUAAACUGUUAAGAGAGUGCGACUGGUGUAGUUAACAGCAUUAUGAUCAUGGACCCUAAGCUUAUAUGCGUCAGUUGUUAGACAAUUAUCAUGUUACUGAAUCAAAAGAAAACAACCACUAUCAAUUAAAAGAAAUCAACUGCCACUUUCAGAUAAAUUGCAAGAAGCACGUAAUUGAAUCCUAAUGCAUCGAAACAUGUAUUUGUACCCACAUUAAUAAUUAAGCAAACCUCAUCUAAUUGUAAUCUACUGAUGUUUUUCGUGAUCCAUAUGUUUCAGAUUCCUACAUCUCUUUAACCCGAGGCUCUCAUCAUAUGUUAGUCACCUCACAAGUAAAUUAAGGGGGAUUCAAGGAAUGGACUUGAAUUUGCAGAACAUCAAUUAAUUCCAGGAGCAAAGUACAAAAGAAUCCGGCAGUGAAAAAACAACGCAGACUGUAGCCAAGAAACAGAUAUUAAUAGCCAAGAACGAACCUCGAUCGGCGACGAAUACUCAAACAAACUCCGACACGGGUAGAAUUUAACUCAUCUCCAAUGAAAUCAGAACAAACAAAAACUUCGAAAUUCAAACGACCUCUAUAGCAAACUUUUCAUAUCAAAAUAGAGUUUAACAAACUCAGCAACAAGGAUCCGGAAAAAAAACAAAAAAAAUGAGUAUCUGGCCUAAAAAAUUGCAACGACCAGAGAUGCCAACGGGAACGAAACCUCGAACGGAGCCUCGCGCCAGCGGAAGGAACGACGAUAUCACAUCAAAUCGAGGGAUAACAAAUCAAACGAAUCUGAGAUGCUUAGACUCCAAAACGUUGGUUGACGUUGAAAAAGAAAGAACUGAGGGGUCAUUGGUUUUGUUUUAUCGAAGAAGAAGAAACAGCCAUGGAGAGUUCUAUCGUUUUGGCUGAGGAAGAAGCUCUAGUACGCUGGGGGUCUUGUAUGUGUUCAACGACGGAUAGGUCUUCUCUUUUAGGUUUUUCUUCAUUUUACUUUUGAAAAGCUUAAUGUUCAGGGGGUGGGAUUUGUUGUGAACGACGC
rnacentral:lncRNA from 1 species